rnacentral:tRNA from 1 species
GGUUGUGUCUCAGUGGUAGAGUGCUCACCUAGCUAGGGCAAGGCCCUGAGUUCAAUCCUCAGCACCA